GAUGAAGAACGCAGCGAACUGCGAUAAGUAAUGUGAAUUGCAGAAUUCAGUGAAUCAUCGAGUCUUUGAACGCACAUUGCGCCCCCUGGCAUUCCGGGGGGCAUGCCUGUCCGAGCGUCAUUGCUGCCCUUCAAGCCCGGCUUGUGUGUUGGGUCGUCGUCCCCCCCGGGGGACGGGCCCGAAAGGCAGCGGCGGCACCGCGUCCGGUCCUCGAGCGUAUGGGGCUUUGUCACCCGCUCGAUUAGGGCCGGCCGGGCGCCAGCCGGCGUCUCCAACCUUCUAUUUUACCAGGUUGACCUCGGAUCAGGUAGGGAUACCCGCUGAACUUAAGAAUAUCAAUAAGCGGAGGA
rnacentral:misc_RNA from 1 species